UCAGGGAGAAGUCUCUUCGGGGAUGAUUAAACCGGCGCACGGGUGAGUAACACGUGAGUGACCUGCCUUUUAGACUGGAACAACUUACCGAAAGGUGAGCUAAUGCCGGAUGAGUUAUAUAAGUGCAUGUUUAUAUAGGAAAAGUUGGGGAGACCUGACGCUGAAAGAUGGACUCGCGUCCCAUUAGCUAGUUGGUAGGGUAAUGGCCUACCAAGGCGACGAUGGGUAGCCGGCCUGAGAGGGUGGCCGGCCACACUGGGACUGAGACACGGCCCAGACUCCUACGGGAGGCAGCAGUGGGGAAUUUUGCGCAAUGCUCGUAAGAGUGACGCAGCGACGCCGCGUGAAUGACGAAGGCCUUCGGGUCGUAAAGUUCUUUCGACAGGGAAGAAAAUGCCUAUAAGUAACUGUGUAUGUAUUGACGGUACCUGUAUAAGCAGCCCCGGCUAACUCCGUGCCAGCAGCCGCGGUAAUACGGAGGGGGCGAGCGUUGUUCGGAGUGACUGGGCGUAAAGAGCACGUAGGCGGUGUUGUAAGUCAUUAGUCAAAGACUAGAGCUCAACUUUAGUAAGGCUAGUGAUACUAUAAUACUAGAGUAUCAGAGAGGAUUGCAGAAUUCCUGGUGUAGCGGUGAAAUGCGUAGAUAUCAGGAGGAAUACCGUUAGCGAAGGCGGCAAUCUGGCUGGAAACUGACGCUGAGGUGCGAAAGCGUGGGUAGCAAAC
rnacentral:rRNA from 1 species